GUUUGAUCCUGGCUCAGAACGAACGCUGGCGGCAGGCCUAACACAUGCAAGUCGAACGAACCCUUCGGGGUGAGUGGCGCACGGGUGCGUAACACGUGGGNAUAUACACAUAGGUAAGGAACAACACAGAGAAAUUUGUGCUAAUACCUUAUAAUAACUCCGGUUCAAAGAUUUAUCGCCUAUGGAUUAGCCCGCGCUAGAUUAGUUUGUUGGAGAGGUAAGNGCUCACCAAGACUACGAUCUAUAGCUGGUCUUAGAGGAUGAUCAGCCACACUGGAACUGAGACACGGUCCAGNCUCCUACGGGAGGCAGCAGUGAGGAAUAUUGCGCAAUGGAGGAAACUCUGACGCAGCCAUGCCGCGUGAAUGAAGAAGGCCCUAGGGUUGUAAAAUUCUUUCAGAUGCGAAGAUAAUGACGGUACCAUCAGAAGAAGCUCCGGCUAAAUUCGUGCCAGCAGCCGCGGUAAUAAGGGCGAAUU
rnacentral:rRNA from 1 species